AGGAGCUGUGGUUCAGUGGAAAAGCCAUUUACCUGCCAUGCAGAAGGUUCCAGGUUCAAUCUCUGGCAUUCCCG
rnacentral:tRNA from 1 species